GACGAACGCUGGCGGCGUGCUUAACACAUGCAAGUCGAACGGAAAGGCCCCUUUUGGGGUACUCGAGUGGCGAACGGGUGAGUAACACGUGAGUAACCUGCCCUUGACUUCGGGAUAACUUCAGGAAACUGGGGCUAAUACCGGAUAGGAAUCCUUGCUGCAUGGUGGGGGUUGGAAAGCUUCGGCGGUUUUGGAUGGACUCGCGGCUUAUCAGCUUGUUGGUGGGGUAGUGGCUUACCAAGGCUUGGACGGGUAGCCGGCCUGAGAGGGCGACCGGCCACAUUGGGACUGAGAUACGGCCCAGACUCCUACGGGAGGCAGCAGUGGGGAAUUUUGCACAAUGGGCGGAAGCCUGAUGCAGCAACGCCGCGUGCGGGAUGACGGCCUUCGGGUUUUAAACCGUUUUCGCCGGGGGCGAAGCUUGUGUGGCGGUAACCGGGAAAGAAGCACCGGCUAACUACGGG
rnacentral:rRNA from 1 species